UCCGUAGGCGGUUUAAUAAGUCAGUGGUGAAAUCUGGUCGCUUAACGAUCAAACGGCCAUUGAUACUGUUAGACUUGAAUUACUAGGAAGUAACUAGAAUAUGUAGUGUAGCGGUGAAAUGCUUAGAUAUUACAUGGAAUACCAAUUGCGAAGGCAGGUUACUACUAGUGGAUUGACGCUGAUGGACGAAAGCGUGGGGAGCGAACAGGAUUAGAUACCCUGGUAGUC
rnacentral:rRNA from 1 species